rnacentral:rRNA from 1 species
AGUGAACGCUGGCGGCGUGCCUAAUACAUGCAAGUCGAACGAUGAAGUCCUAGCUUGCUAGGAUGGAUUAGUGGCGCACGGGUGAGUAAUAUAUAGUUAAUCUGCCCUACACAGAGGAACAACAGUUGGAAACGGCUGCUAAUACCUCAUACUCCUAUUUGACAUAAGUUAAAUAGGGAAAGUCUUUUCGGUGUAGGAUGAGACUAUAUCGUAUCAGCUAGUUGGUAAGGUAAUGGCUUACCAAGGCUAUGACGCGUAACUGGUCUGAGAGGAUGAUCAGUCACAUUGGAACUGAGACACGGUCCAAACUCCUACGGGAGGCAGCAGUAAGGAAUAUUGCGCAAUGGGGGAAACCCUGACGCAGCAACGCCGCGUGGAGGAUGACACUUUUCGGAGCGUAAACUCCUUUUAUCAGGAAAGAAUAAUGACGGUACCUGAUGAAUAAGCACCGGCUAACUCCGUGCCAGCAGCCGCGGUAAUACGGGGGGUGCAAGCGUUACUCGGAAUCACUGGGCGUAAAGGACGCGUAGGCGGAUUAUCAAGUCUUUUGUGAAAUCUAGUGGCUUAACCACUAAACUGCUUAGGAAACUGAUAGUCUAGAGUAGGGGAGAGGUAGAUGGAAUUCUUGGUGUAGGGGUAAAAUCCGCAGAGAUCAAGAAGAACUCCCUUUGUGAAACGAUUUGCUGGAAACCUAACUGACGCCCAUGCGGGAAGUGUGGGUGUUAAAAAUCAUACUAUCCUCUGGUUUUUUAAGGGUGAUUUCCCCCUUGUAUUUCAGCUAUCGAUCCCCCCCCCUCCCGGGGGGGGCCCAAUCAUAAAAAAUUGUUCUUUUUUGCUAGUUUAUUUACCCUCCGAAAAGGGU